AGCUUUGUGCAAUGGCAGUACUGUAGCCAAUGAGGUUUAUCCAAGACAUGAUUAUUGCUAAUUGAAAACUUUUCCCAAUGCCCCACCAUGACAACUAAUUAUAGUCGGCAUUGGCAAUUUUUGACAGUCUCUACAGAGA
ensembl:snRNA U4 U4 spliceosomal RNA